rnacentral:piRNA from 1 species
GGCCAUCUGAAUUUUGACCUCUGGG